GGGGUGGUAACUCAGUGGUAGAAUGCUCGCUUUGCAUGCGAGAAGUCCAGAGUUCAAUCCUCUGCCACUCCA